GGAAGGAUCAUUAACAAAUUUCCAACACUCGUGUUCUCCAGUUGGGACGGCACCUCCGGGUCUCUGAACAGCUGGAGUAUCCACACAUUUACACUUACUUUAAACAACAACUACAACCAAAAGAUAUCAAUGUGAAAAACAACUUUUAACAAUGGAUCUCUUGGCUCUUGCAACGAUGAAGAACGCAGCGAACUGCGAAACGUCAUGUGACCUGCACUCUUCGUGAAUCAUCCAAUCUUUGAACGCAAUUUGCACCGGGUGAUGCAUGUCAUCCGGUAUACUUGUUUGAGUAUCUGAAACUACCUCACACUCCCCUCGGGGCGGUGUGGACUGUAUGAGCUUCUUGCUUUGCUGCAAGUCUCUCUAAAGAUAUGGGUCUCUUUCCUUUACGGGAAAGUAGGACUGCCUCUGCCUGAACAUGGUUUAGACUAUUGGGAUAACAUCCUAACAAUCGUCGCCAUGUUACCUCUCACGAGGAAGGGCAUUGACAGGCUGACUAGACCUGAACGGAUUUAGCUUGCCUAAACAGCGAGCGCAAGUCCACGGAAUGCCUUACCGCAAACCUGUUCUCUAGAUCUCAAAUCAAGUAAGGAUACCCGCUGAACUUAAGCAUAUCAGUAAGCGGAGGAAAAGAAACUAACAAGGAUUCCCCUAGUAACGGCGAGUGAAGCGGGAAGAGCUCAAAUUUAAAAUCUGGUUGUCUUUGGCAACCCGAAUUGUGAUUGAGAGGCAUGUCUUUGGGAUACGCUUGGAGAGCCUAAGUUCUCUGGAAAGGGACAACAAAGAGGGUGACAUUCCCGUCUGGGUUCUCUAGCGUGUUCCGUAUAAAGGCAGGUCAACGAGUCGGAUUGUUUGGGAAUGCAGUCCAAAAUGGGUGGUACAUGUCAUCUAAAGCUAAAUAACGGCAAGAGACCGAUAGCGAACAAGUACCGUGAGGGAAAGAUGAAAAGAACUUUGAAAAGAGAGUUAAAAAGUACGUGAAAUUGUUAAAAGGGAAACGAUUGAGACCAGUGAUGCGCUCUGUCCUUGAGCGGUCCUCUCGGGGACCGUGUGUGGGCAGGGAGCACGUGGACGCUCCUUUACAGCCGCGGAAAAGACAAGAGGAAAGGUGGCUGUGCCUUUGGCAUUAGCGUUAUAGUCCUCUUGGGAUACACGGCCGUGGAGGAGUAAGGUAGGCCCGCAAGGGUCACGUCCACGAAAUGGUCUUAAACGACCCGUCUUGAAACACGGACCAAGGAGUCUAACAACGAUGCGAGUAUUUGAGUGGCAAACUCGAAUGCGCAAAGAAACUGAACGCAUGGGAUCGGUGUCCUCUAGGGGUAACCGUGCACCAUGGGCCGGUCCUCGUCUUCGACUUGGAUUGCGCUAGAGCAUCUCUGUUGGGACCCGAAAGAUGGUGAACUAUGCCUGAAUAGGGUGAAGCCAGGGGAAACUCUGGUGGAGGCUCGUAGACAUUCUGACGUGCAAAUCGAUGUUCAAAUUUGGGUAUAGGGGCGAAAGACUAAUCGAACCAUCUAGUAGCUGGUUCCCUC
rnacentral:misc_RNA from 1 species